rnacentral:rRNA from 1 species
CCUCCACGACUGUGAAGCACAGGAGUGCCUUCGGGAGCGCGAACACGAGGUGUGCAUGGCUGUCGUCAGCUCGUGUCGUGAGAUGGUUGGUUAACGUCCCGACAACGAGCGCUAACCCUUGUUCACUGUGCCAGCUACGUUAGUGGUGGGACUCAGUGGAGACCGCCGGGUCAACUCGGAGGAAGGUGGGGAUGACGUCAAGUCAUCAUCGCCCCUUAUGUCCAGGGCUUCACGUAUGCUACAAUGGCUGGUACAGAGAGUGGCGAGCCUGUGAGGGUGAGCGAAUCUCGGAAAGCCGGUGUCGACGCGGCCG